AAUUCAAUUCAGUUCAGUUCAGUUCAGUUCACUAAUCUUCUGCUUCAUGCUUCUCUUUCCUAAAACCUCACUCCCAAUUCUCAACAUUUGAUUUCAAUUAAUAUGUGAAUUUCUGUACGGAUUUUUCUGCCGAUUGGGGAAUAUCCGAUCAAAGAAUCGAAUAAAACAAGGUAACCAAUUUCAUAUGAUGGACGCAUCAAAUGGUUCCGCAAAUUUCGAAGAAAUCAACUCUUUCUUCGAUUCCGCCCCUUCUCUAAAGGAUGGUGAAGAAAUCAAAAGA